rnacentral:rRNA from 1 species
UACGUAGGGUGCAAGCGUUGUCCGGAAUUAUUGGGCGUAAAGAGCUCGUAGGCGGUUUGUCGCGUCUGCUGUGAAAAUCCAGGGCUUAACCCUGGACCUGCAGUGGGUACGGGCAGACUGGAGUGCGGUAGGGGAGAUCGGAAUUCCUGGUGUAGCGGUGAAAUGCGCAGAUAUCAGGAGGAACACCGGUGGCGAAGGCGGAUCUCUGGGCCGUAACUGACGCUGAGGAGCGAAAGCAUUGGGAGCGAACAGG